rnacentral:lncRNA from 1 species
GAGAGCUCAAUGAACUUGUGUGUACCGACACCUGCUUGCUCACUAGACUCCAGGUUGAUAGAAAGAGAGAAGGGCUGAGGGCAGGGGUUAGAGAAUCGUCAACUUCCUAAUUGAACACUCGAUCUGAAUUGGCAAUGCUUCAGGGACAUGGUUGCUGGUCUCUGUUCCUCGCCAGGAGCAAGCAGGUGCUGAAUAAGUCAUCUUGGUGCCUGUGCUGCAGGAAGUCUUGUGAACAGGAAAAAGAGAAGACUCACAUUUGUUACUGUCUUGGCAGCUAAAAGGGGGCCACGGAUGCUGAUCACAGAUUCAGGAAGAAAGGCAGUGGGCUCAGGGAGAGGCCUUGAAGUCACAGGUGAAACGCUGGGGUCUGAUCCCAAGCCACAAAUAAAAGCUGGAAUUGAUUUAAUGGAAUUCCACCCAUUUAUUCAGCAGAUAACAACUGGACAGCAGAAGCGGCCAGGCCCUAAGAGAGCUGUGGGGGUACAGCCAUGAGUGGGAUUCCUCUCGUCUCCCACAAGCAGAGAGCCAUGUGCUCAAGGGGUGAACGCUGAAGGAGCCCAUAAAAGAGACGAUCUGCCGUGACUGGUGCACAGACGGCUGCCUUGUCUGACUUCUCAGCCCUCCCCCAAAUCAGGUUCAGCGGACUCUUGACUCCCCCACCGCCACCAAGAAGAGAGGGCAGCGGGGUGUCCUUGUGCCAGCCCACGCAGGCCUGCUUGCUUUGUUUCUCAUUCAGAGCCACGCUGGCCAUUUCAGACACAGCCAACCCAGGAGCUUAGACCAGAGGCAGCUGCUGCAGGCAUGGGCCUGGCAGCAGGAAGGCCAGUGGGCGGGCAGACAGGCAGCAAGAGAACACUCGAGAAUUAACCUGCCCAGGGCUGGGUCUCCUCAGAGGAUCACGGACAUCCCUACUCCCGCCUUUUGACGACAGAGACAUGGCUCGGGAGCCCAAGCCUGGUCCUGCCCGGCCGGGCCAGAAGAGGCCCUGGGGCACGGCCAUCUCCUGGUGAGUCUGUCGGGGUUGCCUGCCGGGGAGGGAGUCUGAUCACCAGCUUGACUGGGGCGCUGAGCCCCCCAGGAUGGAACGCGGACCGCAGGAGGCUUGUUCAGUGCCUGACAACUAGCCAGGCAGGCUGCCCGUCCUACUCACUGUGGCACCAAAGGAGAUGCUGUCUGCCUUGGCCACUGGUUUUGUCUGGAAACUGGGUGGGAGGGGUGUCGACCCAGCUCCUUCCAAGGCCCCUUCGAGCUGACAUAACCCAGCUAGCAUCCUGCUGGUGGGGCCCUCUUCUCUCGCCUGGACGCAGGGGUGUGGCUCCUCCAAAGGGAGCCUCGCCUGUGGGAUGCUUGGGGGCUUUUUCUGGGUAUCGAUGUUUGGGAGCAGAAAAUGGGAACCUUUCAGGAGGAAAUCCUCCCUCUAACUUGGGACACUUCAAGGCAUUUUAAAGAAACCUUUAAACAUCUUCAGAAAGGUACUCACCAAACUGCCCGCCAACGUGCCAUUUUCACAGGCCUAACGAGGGUGUGUGCGAACCCAGUGGUUGCUUCGCCCUCCGCUGGGUGUUUGUGGGGGCCGCGCUCGGCUCCUGGCCCAGCUGUGGGUAUUUGAGUGGUUUUUGCCUUGCCAGUGGGGGAGGCGGGAGGCAGCGGGACAGGUGGUUGCAGUUAGGGACAGCAUUGUGUAAACGCCCUGGUGCCGAAGAAGGUUCUGGUUCCUCUGGGGUCUCAUCUCCUCAGAAGUGGGAUGCAGGGCUGGGCGGGGGCUGCCCUGAGGAGCCUCUGCACCUCCAGGUUGACCUCGAGAGAGAUUUGGCCAAAUCUCGCGCUGCCUGCGGCAGCCCGAGGGUCUGCGUCACCUUUAGGGGGGGUGGACUCCUUGUUCACUGCGUUUGCUUUGGGCUGAGGAGGAGGUGCGCGCUCGUGGGUGAGCUCAGUUUUUUAAACUUGGGUUUCUUCAGUGAUGCAGACGUGCGCACGCGGUGUGCUGUGGGGGGCUCUCAUCGGGGGCUUGCUAGGGUUUUGUAAACAGCUGUUUGACGGGAGGUAAGUGGUUCCUUCCCUUCAUCCUAUCCUGCAGUUUUCUCCCACGGCCGUUUUGAGGCUGGGUUAACCCUUCCUCAGUGUGGUUCCAGGUGCCGCCUUCAGAGUUCAUGCCCCCCGCCCCCUUGCCUAGCAGGCUCGGACCCAGUCCUGCAGGUGCAGGUGGGGGAACAGGGAAGCAGUGGGGAGUAAUGACAACUGUCCUGCAGGAACGCAGACUCCAUCCAGAGGGGUGCCUGGCGUUCCAGGCCUGGGGCAGGGGUGGAUUCCUUAGGACCCCUGUGUCCCCGGAGGACACCAGUGAGGAGAAUGAAGCCCUUCCCCAGGGCUGGACAGCAUGUCUGAGGCAGCAGGCUAUUGCUGUGGCACUGGCCCCUUGGGAGCGUGUCCCAAAGAGAAGUAGUUUGGGGGUGGGGUCCUGGUGGCCCCUGCAUUGCUGGAUGACUUCUCCAUGAGAACUGGUCAAGUCCAGGCCAUGUGCCUUGCUGGUGGGAGGGGCGAGGAACAGCAGGGAUGCCCCCAAGCGGGGAGGGACCCCUCUACCUGCAGCAAGCUGUGGUAGCAAAUACAGCCUAACACCUAACCCCCAAACUCAUCCUGCUUCUGUCUCAACUCAGGCAGCUCCUGAGUCUAUUCUCAGCCCUCAGUGAAUGACCAUUCCUUUACCAUUAAUUUCUGGGUAUUUUUAAAAGACAAAUUACAAACAAAACAAAACAAAAACGAGUGAGGAAAAAAGACCCGAAUCUGCCUCCUCCAUUGGCUGGGAAUCAAAGCCAGGCCUCCCGUGUGGCAGGCGAGAUUUCUAGCACCAAGCUGCCCGUGCUGCAGUGGGAUAGAGGUUGUUGAGGCAGCCCAGGUGGUCGCUACUGACCUCCCCGCCCCUCCCAUGAGCUGUGUCGGAUCUCUGCUGAGGUUUUGGUCCAGGAGCGGAGAGGGGACCCUGGCAAGCCCAAGGGGGCCUCAACAAGAGUUUUCCCCAAGUGGUUCAUGCCCAGCUGAGACUUGCCACCUUGAGUUCUGUCCUGGCCCCCCAGCCUUCCCGGCCUGGCUGUUCCGGUUGCUCAGGGAGCUGUUUCCUGCAUCACGAUCCGGGUCCCAGAUGCCGACCCUGAAGCUCGGAAGGUCCGGGUACCUGCCCUCCCACGCUCUGCUGGCUCACUCUUUUCUCCAAGGACAGGCCUCCCACCACCGGAAUCAGCAUCCCUGCCGCUCCCGGCUGCCCACCCAGACUUCCUGAGGCCAGAAAUCAGAGCGGGGGUGGCUGGAAAUCUCAUCCACAGGCCUGGAGACCUCACAGGAUGAAGGCAAAGGGGCCCCUGAAUGUCCUCUAUUCCACCUCAGGGGCCUCUGCAGGGCUUGAGGGCUGGGCUUGGGUGUGUGUUUGGGGUGGGGAGUAGGACUUGGACACACAGUACCAGAAUGUCAUUUCAGAAACUUUGCUGCCCCCGGCUUGCAGCCCCUCACGUCCCCCUCAACUCCUCACUCGCCCCAGACCAAGCCUCAGGCUGAACCUAAACUUGCAGCUGUGUUCCCACAGGUCCUUCCUGCCUAGGCUGGACCCAGUCUGCCCUUGCACCCAUCUCCAUUACCCCUUGGGCACCAAUUCUCUUGGAGGUGCACGGUGCUGAGAGCUGGGGUGAGGGCAGGCAGUGGCAGCCUGGGAACUGGAGCCAAGGGGAAGGUGGCCUGGCCGGCCCUGCCAGUGCUGGGCUCUGCAUCCUGGCCAUUCCUACGCAAGGAUUAAAGGCUCUCACACCUGCUUUGUGACUUUGGGCCCUGAUUUAACUCUUCCCUUUCAUCCUUUGCCAGACUAAGAACCAGAAUAAGCCCAGCAAUGCUUGGGUCAGGCAGGGGAGCCUUUGGAGAGCCCAGAUCUGGCUAUCUAGAAACCCGUAGGCAACUGCCCCCUCUUGCCACUCAGAAGAUGCCCCGUCAGAGGCCAGCUAUAGGAAGCUGGCUUGUUGUGGCCUCCUAAAGUGACCUGGGUCAAGUCCCUAGGAGCACUUCUGGUGGAGACCCCUGGGAUUCUAAGAAAAAGCUGCAUACCUCAGUUUCUCUAUAUAAGCUGGAAUCUGGGCGAGGAUUCCGGUCCUGGACAGUGACCCUUCCCCCAUUUCUCUCUACUGCAACAGCUACUACGACCUGGAUUACGAGCUGUACAGGGAAGAAUUCCCCUACAGGGUGUGUGACUACCAAAGGAUCCCUCCACUAAUCAACCGUGCACCUACCAAGAUCCGGGGGACCCACGUGGGCCCGGGGGUCAAGCACAGCUUUAGUCCCCACAAGGCUCCCAGGACUAGUCAACUGCCUGCAGGGCAGAUAAAGCUCCAGACUGAGGAGCUGCACUCCAUCAGAGGAGAGCUGAGCCAGAUCAAAGCCCAGGUGGAUCACCUGCUGGAGACUGUGGACCGCAUGGACCAGCAGAUGGACCAGCUUCCAGGGACGGAGGACUGCGAACAGAACCGGAGCUCCAGGAGUAAGGGUCCCUCAUACAGAACCGUAGAACCUCAUCAGGAGCCUACAGGCCAGAGGACCCAUCCAGAGGCAGACAGCUCCCCGAUCACAGACCCAGAAGACCCCAAGGAGGCAGUAAAGAAUCACGCAUCAGACCAGGAGGGCAGCCAGUAGAAGGCUGGAACUCCCCCAGUCUCAUCAGCUCCAGGCACUUUCUUCGGCGGUUCCUAUCCCCUGCCUUGAGUAGCACCCACGCUGGAGCAAGCGCAAAGAAGUGGAGGCAUGGCUCAGCCAGUCCAGCUGGGAAGCCUCCCCCCAGUGCUGACUUUAGCUUGAGGAUCAUGUUUCCAGAUGACCAUCUGGGGGCUAGCGGGGAAGGAAGGAGCCCUCCAAGUGCCCAGCACCAGCUCACCAUUCUCAUAAAGUUGAGGCCACUCCUGUUAAGAGGCAGCUGGAAAGGGCCCCCCUGGGAGCACCACCAGCCCUCUGACUACAGGUACCUCCCUAGCUGCUUCUCCCCGCCCCUCGCCAAAGCCUUACCUGUCCUCUCUGGGUCUCAGCAGGAGUAUCACUUUUAUGUUGUUUCUACCUUGUCUCUUGCUGGUGUGAUCUUACAUAUUUCAGAUCUGCUUUGGAAAAAUAUGUCACUGAGGAGAAAUAAAAUUUUCUUUUCCCUGGUCA